rnacentral:rRNA from 1 species
AGAGUUUGAUCAUGGCUCAGGACGAACGCUGGCGGCGUGCCUAAUACAUGCAAGUCGAGCGGACGUUUUAUUGGUGCUUGCACCGAUUUAACGUUAGCGGCGGACGGGUGAGUAACACGUGGGUAACCUGCCCUAUAGACUGGGAUAACUUCGGGAAACCGAGGCUAAUACUGGAUAAUACAUUGAAUCACAUGUUUCGAUGUUGAAAGAUGGUUCUGCUAUCACUAUAGGAUGGACCCGCGGCGCAUUAGCUAGUUGGUGAGGUAACGGCUCACCAAGGCGACGAUGCGUAGCCGACCUGAGAGGGUGAUCGGCCACACUGGGACUGAGACACGGCCCAGACUCCUACGGGAGGCAGCAGUAGGGAAUCUUCCACAAUGGACGAAAGUCUGAUGGAGCAACGCCGCGUGAGUGAAGAAGGAUUUCGGUUCGUAAAACUCUGUUGUAAGGGAAGAACAAGUGCAGUAGUAACUGGCUGCACCUUGACGGUACCUUAUUAGAAAGCCACGGCUAACUACGUGCCAGCAGCCGCGGUAAUACGUAGGUGGCAAGCGUUGUCCGGAAUUAUUGGGCGUGAAGCGCGCGCAGGUGGUUUCUUAAGUCUGAUGUGAAAGCCCACGGCUCAACCGUGGAGGGUCAUUGGAAACUGGGAGACUUGAGUGCAGAAGAGGAUAGUGGAAUUCCAAGUGUAGCGGUGAAAUGCGUAGAGAUUUGGAGGAACACCAGUGGCGAAGGCGACUGUCUGGUCUGUAACUGACACUGAGGCGCGAAAGCGUGGGGAGCAAACAGGAUUAGAUACCCUG